rnacentral:rRNA from 1 species
CCCUUAGAUGUUCUGGGCCGCACGCGCGCUACACUGACGAAUGCAACGAGCUUAUAACCUUGGCCGAAAGGUCUGGGUAAUCUCCAAAUUUCGUCGUGAUGGGGAUAGAUUAUUGCAAUUGUUCUCCGUGAACCAGGAAUUCCCAGUAAGCGCAAGUCAUAAGCUUGCGUUGAUUACGUCCCUGCCCUUUGUACACACCGCCCGUCGCUACUACCGAUUGAACGUUUUAGUGAGGUAUUUGGACUGGACCUUCGGAGGUUCGCGCCUCCGUUGCUGUUCGGGAAGACUCCCAAACUUGAGCGUUUAGAGGAAGUAAAAGUCGUAACA